CAUUCACGGAGAGUUUGAUCCUGGCUCAGGACGAACGCUGGCGGCGUGCUUAACACAUGCAAGUCGAACGAUGAACCACCUCGGUGGGGAUUAGUGGCGAACGGGUGAGUAACACGUGGGCAAUCUGCCCUGCACUCCGGGACAAGCCCUGGAAACGGGGUCUAAUACCGGAUACCCGCCGCCGCCCGCAUGGGCGGCGGCGGAAAGCUCCGGCGGUGCAGGAUGAGCCCGCGGCCUAUCAGCUGGUUGGUGAGGUAACGGCUCACCAAGGCGACGACGGGUAGCCGGCCUGAGAGGGCGACCGGCCACACUGGGACUGAGACACGGCCCAGACUCCUACGGGAGGCAGCAGUGGGGAAUAUUGCACAAUGGGCGCAAGCCUGAUGCAGCGACGC
rnacentral:rRNA from 1 species